rnacentral:rRNA from 1 species
GGAGUCUAGCAUGUACGCAAGUCAUUGGGAUAUGACUAAACCUAAAGGCAUAAUGAAAGUAAAAGUUCAUCUUGCAUGAACUAAGGGAAGAUGAGUUUAAAUUACGAUUUUUAUUCCGCACUCCCGGGGCGUCUCAUUCUCAUUGCGAGAAGAGGCGCACCAAGAGCGUACACGCUGGGACCCGAAAGAUGGUGAACUAUGCCUGGUCAGGACGAAGUCAGGGGAAACCCUGAUGGAGGUCCGUAGCGAUUCUGACGUGCAAAUCGAUCGUCGGAACUGGGUAUAGGGGCGAAAGACUAAUCGAACCAUCUAGUAGCUGGUUCCCUCCGAAGUUUCCCUCAGGAUAGCUGGCGCUCAUUGCGUACGAGUUUCAUCCGGUAAAGCGAAUGAUUAGAGGCAUUGGGGUCGAAACGGCCUCAACCUAUUCUCAAACUUUAAAUGGGUGAGAUCUCCGGCUUGCUCGAACUUAUGAAGCCGCGAGACUCGAAUCAGAGUGCCAAGUGGGCCAUUUUUGGUAAGCAGAACUGGCGCUGUGGGAUGAACCAAACGCUGAGUUAAAGCGCCUAAAUCGACGCUUAUGGGAUACCAUGAAAGGCGUUGGUAACUUAAGACAUCAGGACGGUGGCCAUGGAAGUC